rnacentral:hammerhead_ribozyme from 1 species
AUCCAGCUGACGAGUCCCGAAUAAGACGAAAUACUCAUUCUGUAU